rnacentral:rRNA from 1 species
GGCGCUGGGAUGGUCUAGGCCAUGCGAGUCAUUGUAGCAAUACAAGGCAGACGGCUCAGUAACGCGUAGUCAACCUAACCUAUGGACGGGAAUAAUCUCAGGAAACUGAGAAUAAUGCCCGAUAGAACACUAUAUCUGGAAUGGUUUGUGUUCCAAAUGAUUUAUCGCCAUAGGAUGGGACUGCGGCCUAUCAGUUUGUUGGUGAGGUAAUGGCCCACCAAGACUAUUACAGGUACGGGCUCUGAGAGGAGUAGCCCGGAGAUGGGUACUGAGACACGGACCCAGGCCCUAUGGGGCGCAGCAGGCGAGAAAACUUUGCAAUGUGCGAAAGCACGACAAGGUUAAUCCGAGUGGUUUCUGCUAAAGGAACCUUUUGUCGGUCCUAGAAACACCGAUGAAUAAGGGGUGGGCAAGUUCUGGUGUCAGCCGCCGCGGUAAAACCAGCACCUCAAGUGGUCAGGAUGAUUAUUGGGCCUAAAGCAUCCGUAGCCGGCUCUGUAAGUUUUCGGUUAAAUCCAUACGCUUAACGUAUGGGCUGCCGGGAAUACUGCAUAACUAGGAAGUGGGAGAGGUAGACGGUACUCGGUAGGAAGGGGUAAAAUCCUUUGAUCUAUUGAUGACCACCUGUGGCGAAGGCGGUCUACCAGAACACGUUCGACGGUGAGGGAUGAAAGCUGGGGGAGCAAACCGGAUUAGAUACCCGGGUAGUCCCAGCUGUAAACUAUGCAAACUCAGUGAUGCAUUGGCUUGUGGCCAAUGCAGUGCUGCAGGGAAGCCGUUAAGUUUGCCGCCUGGGAAGUACGUACGCAAGUAUGAAACUUAAAGGAAUUGGCGGGGGAGCACCACAAGGGGUGAAGCCUGCGGUUCAAUUGGAGUCAACGCCGGA